GGGUGAGUUCAAGCGCAGCCUCAAUUUCUCAAUUCUCAUUUUAUCUCGAUCUAUUUGUUAUGUGGGUUCUAUCUUACUUUGUUUGGUUACUGGAAAAAAAUAAGUAUUUUUAUAUGAUACGUUCUUGUUAUGCCGCCUAAAUCAUUUUGUUUUUUUCCGCGGAUUUCCAAGCAACCAAAGUAUUUCCAGCGUUUUGAGCUGCUUUUGCUGCUUAUUCACUUUAGAUUCUUUGGAUUAUAUAUGUUUGAAAUUAUUAGAUGAAUUGGUUUUUACAAAUUUGGAUAUUACAUUUUUCUUCUUAUUCUGUUGGUUUGAGAUAUGAGUAAUUGAUUCUUUAAAUUUCCUUAGAUUUUGGGGCUUAGGAAAACGUUCCUUUUAGUUUUCGUGGUAAUAGGGCUAUAUUUUGAUAGAAACUAUUGUUUUGCUAUUGUUUUUAUGGUACAAGUUAGCAAUUCGAUAUCAGGUUUAUGUGUAAUUGAAAAUGUUAUUGCAGUUAAUUGAGGUUUUCCUUUUAGAUGAAUUUGACAUUAUCCUUUUUCUUUUUUGAGGAUUGCA
rnacentral:misc_RNA from 1 species